UACGGAGGGGGCUAGCGUUGUUCGGAAUUACUGGUCGUAAAGGGCGCGUAGGCGGUCUGAAAAGUAGAGGGUGAAAGCCCGGAGCUCAACUCCGGAACUGCCUUCUAAACUGCCAGACUAGAGACCGGAAGAGGUGAGUGGAAUUCCCAGUGUAGAGGUGAAAUUCGUAGAUAUUGGGAAGAACACCAGUGGCGAAGGCGGCUCACUGGUCCGGUACUGACGCUGAGGUGCGAAAGCGUGGGGAGCAAACAGG
rnacentral:rRNA from 1 species